rnacentral:ncRNA from 1 species
GUAAGCGUAUAGAGAAAUCUGUACGUAGAGAUAGUUGAACAUACUAUCCUAUAUACCACUUUAAUUGCUGGGAAGCCCUAAAGCUAACUAAACGACAACGUGAGGAUGAAAAAUGCCUGAGCGUGAACGUGACGAAAGUAAAAAGAAUUAGUUAGAUGGCAUAUGGUUAAAUCCUAAGUGUUCUACACAAUGGGCAAUCAGCAGCUAAGGCUUGAAUAGAGCAAAGUUCAACGACUAUCCCUCUUGAGGGGAGUAGGUAGAAGUCUACCGAAGUGGGUGGCUCCUAACAGGUAAAGCUGAGGAAGAAGAUAUAGUCUGUGCUUGCGUGAAAGUGUAAG